rnacentral:rRNA from 1 species
GUGUCAGCCGCCGCGGUAAUACGAAGGGGGCUAGCGUUGUUCGGAUUUACUGGGCGUAAAGCGCACGUAGGCGGAUCGUUAAGUCGGGGGUGAAAUCCUGGAGCUCAACUCCAGAACUGCCUUCGAUACUGGCGAUCUUGAGUCCGGAAGAGGUGAGUGGAACUCCUAGUGUAGAGGUGGAAUUCGUAGAUAUUAGGAAGAACACCAGUGGCGAAGGCGGCUCACUGGUCCGGUACUGACGCUGAGGUGCGAAAGCGUGGGGAGCAAACAGGAUUAGAAACCCCAGUAGUCC